UACGUUCCCGGGCCUUGUACACACCGCCCGUCAAGUCACGAAAGUCGGUAACACCCGAAGCCGGUGGCCCAACUCGUAAGAGGGGGAGCCGUCGAAGGUGGGACUGGCGAUUGGGACU
rnacentral:rRNA from 1 species